CUGGUUGGUCCUGCAAGCACCCAUAUAUUUCUCUUAUAUUUCUCUUGACGAUUGCGCCUUGCAUUUCUAAGCAAAACCUUUUUUAGGGUUCAACUGCUAAUGGCUCAUUCAUAAGAGCUAAAGUGUAUUCAAAGGUUCCUUUUUAUAGAGAUAACCAUGGUAGUUGUUUGGUUGAUACAUGCGAAGGGCUUUAAUAGUUGUAUGGCUAAUACGUGCUCAAGGCUAUCCCUAGGAGGGGCUCUUUUUAUUAAACACAAAAUUAUCCAGCAUAUGUAGGGUCUUGGUGAUUAUAUCGGCCAAGCGGAUAGCAGGUGGCUCUGUAGUGACCCGUGAUGGAUCGCUCAGGUUGCUGGUUACUGGCCCAUCAGCCAUCGACGGUAACGUAUUGGCCUCCUGUGGAGCUUGCGGGUAACGGCGAAGCAGGGGCCAACUGCGGUGAGGAAGCGUGGAAAACGGCUGCCACAUCUAAGGAAGUCAGCAGGAGAGCAAAUUACCUCAUGAACACAGCUUCGAGGUAGUGACGAGAGAUAACAAUACUUCUAUGCUUUGUAACGAAAAUAAUGGAAAGGAAGAACACUUCCUGAGUAGCAGUUCGAGUGGAAGUCGAGUAGCAAAAGCUGCAGUAAUUGAGGCUCCUACAGAGUACAUUAGAUUCGUUGCAGUUAAACAAUGUCGUAGUUUGACUUCUAUCGUGCUCAUCCGGCACCACUCGUACGAAUGGGCACCUGAUUUGCCCUCGGCUUAAUUCCAGAAGCCGUCGGCGCCUAACUCCAUGUGAUGCUAUUCAUGAACUUCUAUGUUGCGAAAAGUGGAGCGUUUCAAGCGGUAUUGUCUCCCUGAAUAUUGCAGCAAAAAUAAGUAGUUUGGUCUUCGGUUCUACUUCAUUGGUUUGUAGGUCCAAGGCACUGUGCGAUAUUUGGAUGCAGCCAUUUGUAACUGUCACUGUAGAAAUUCUUAAAAUAGCCAAGCAAGAGCGACUACGAAAGCACUUGCCAAGAACAACUUUAUCAAUCACGAACGGCAGUAGGGGGAAUGAAGAAUAUUAUUUACUGUGGAGCAGUGAGUGGGUAGUUGUCAUUUCUCAUGUUUGCUCUCCG
rnacentral:ncRNA from 1 species